GCUGGCGGCAGGCCUAACACAUGCAAGUCGAACGUGAAGCCACCUUCGGGUGGUGGAAAGUGGCAGACGGGUGAGUAACGCGUGGGAACGUGCCUUUCGGUUCGGAAUAACCCAGGGAAACUUGGGCUAAUGCCGGAUACGCCCUUCGGGGGAAAGAUUUAUCGCCGAAAGAUCGGCCCGCGUCGGAUUAGCUUGUUGGUGGGGUAAAAGCCUACCAAGGCGACGAUCCGUAGCUGGUCUGAGAGGAUGAUCAGCCACACUGGGACUGAGACACGGCCCAGACUCCUACGGGAGGCAGCCGUGGGGAAUAUUGGACAAUGGGCGAAAGCCUGAUCCAGCCAUGCCGCGUGGGUGAAGAAGGCCCUAGGGUUGUAAACCCCUUUCAGCGGGGAAGAUAAUGACGGUACCCGCAGAAGAAGCCCCGGCUAACUCCGUGCCAGCAGCCGCGGUAAUACGGAGGGGGCUAGCGUUGUUCGGAAUUACUGGGCGUAAAGCGCGCGUAGGCGGACUUUCAAGUCAGGGGUGAAAUCCCGAGGCUUAACCUCGGAACUGCCUUUGAUACUGUAAGUCUUGA
rnacentral:rRNA from 1 species